CCUACGGGAGGCAGCAGUGAGGAAUAUUGGUCAAUGGGCGCUAGCCUGAACCAGCCAAGUAGCGUGAAGGAUGACUGCCCUAUGGGUUGUAAACUUCUUUUAUAUGGGAAUAAAGUGCAGUACGUAUACUGCUUUGCAUGUACCUUAUGAAUAAGGAUCGGCUAACUCCGUGCCAGCAGCCGCGGUAAUACGGAGGAUCCGAUCGUUAUCCGGAUUUAUUGGGUUUAAAGGGAGCGUAGGCGGGUUGUUAAGUCAGUUGUGAAAGUUUGCGGCUCAACCGUAAAAUUGCAGUUGAUACUGGCAGCCUUGAGUACAGUAGAGGUAGGCGGAAUUCGUGGUGUAGCGGUGAAAUGCUUAGAUAUCACGAAGAACUCCGAUUGCGAAGGCAGCCUGCUGGACUGUAACUGACGCUGAUGCUCGAAAGUGUGGGUAUCAAACAGGAUUAGAUACCCCUGUAGUC
rnacentral:rRNA from 1 species